UCUGCCGCUCGUAGGUCGGUGCUGCGCUUUGCUGUGCGCGAGCGACAGACACGGCGGAGGGAAGCGCACGCGCUGCGGCGCUCAGACCCACUUCUGCUUGUCCGGUGCUCCUCAGUCACACACACACUAAGUCUGGAGACGGAUUAUCGGUGUGACUGAAUGAAGUGCGUCACACAGAGAGAAGAAACAGAGGCGGCGAGGGACCGAGAUGCGGAGCAGAGACACGCACAAACACCGAGAACCGGGAGUGUGGAGGAACUCUGAUCCCUAACACACACACACACACACACACACACACACACACACACACACUUCACCGUGACAAGGAGGUUCCCAGAGGUUUCCUCUGUGUAUGAAGACGACAGGCGAUGGAGCACCUUACUGAAAUUUCCUGCAAGUGAACGUUAACUCAACAAAGCGAAAUCAUAAGGAUGUAAAUAAGCGUUCCCCGGGG
ensembl:lncRNA